AUCACGCUUGCUGCCUCCUCCAUCCUCUUCAAGCGGACGCCUCCACGAAGCUAGCUACUCUUGCUUUUCUUUCAUUGUUCCUUCGGCCGACAGUUUUUCAUUUCUGUCCCAUCUCUCGACCGCCAGCGCAUCCGCAAGACCGCUUGCAGCUUACGUGUGUUUUUUCCCCCGCUAGCGGACUGCUUCCUCUGCCGUGCGUCUUCCCCCAUGAUCGAAGCCCACACCCUCCUGUCCUCUGCAGGUCAACCCUCACCUAUCAAAACCCCUAUUUGUUGACUCAUUCUUCACGGCUGCAGCUCCACCAAAUCACCCCCUCAUUGCCGCGCGUCCUUCACCCAUCCACCGAGUCAAAUCCUCAAUCUUCAUCCCAUUUUUGUUGACCGAAGAAGCCCCAGAAUUCCAGCGAAGCAGCAGCAUCGUCCGAUUCACAAGUCCACGAAGCAGCGUUCCUCUCCAGCAACGUCGGUCUUCAUU
rnacentral:lncRNA from 1 species